rnacentral:rRNA from 1 species
GUGGCGGACGGGUGAGUAACGCGUGGGUAACCACCUUGUACAGGGGGACGAACAGUUGGAAACGACUGCUAAUACCGCAUAAGCGCACAGUACCGCAUGGUACGGUGUGAAAAAGAUCUAUCGGCAUACGAUGGACCCGCGUCUGAUUAGCUAGUUGGUGAGGUAACGGCCCACCCAAGGCGACGAUCAGUAGCCGGCCUGAGAGGGUGAACGGCCACAUGGGACUGAGACACGGCCCAAACUCCUACGGGAGGCAGCAGUGGGGAAUAUUGGACAAUGGGGGAAACCCUGAUCCAAGCGACGCCGCGUGAGUGAAGAAGUAUUUCGGUAUGUAAAGCUCUAUCAGCAAGGAAGAAAAAUGACGGUACUUGACUAAGAAGCUCCGGCUAAAUACGUGCCAGCCGCGGC